AACCUGGCAAGCUUUGUAAUGAAGACAGCUCGUGUGUGCUCCCGUUUGAUGGCUACACGGGUGUAUGUGACAAUGAAAGGUGUGAAUGCUCAGAAGGCUACUCACAGAAGGGAGAGGUUUGCUCGGGUGUGAUGUCAAUCAUGGGCUCAACUGUCGUCGUAGCUCUGGCACUUCUGUACAGACUUUUGUAGAACAAAAAGGAAGCAAAAUAUAGAGUAUAGACUUUU
rnacentral:sRNA from 1 species